UCCCGUUGGCACACCUCCGGAUCCGCCAGCACACCUCUCACUCCUCCUCUCCCUUCGUUCUCCAGUACCGGCGAUGGCCUCCGCCGUGCGCCCAUCCUCCAGCACCACCUAGUCCUUCCGUCGCUCCUCCCCUCCCGAUCGAGAUCCACACCUCGUCCCCACCUCGUUCUCUACUGCCCCCGACUUCCCCCACGGUCUCAACAUCUCUUCGUGGCCACUGUCCGGCCUCACGCCGCCGCGCUAGGUGUAGUGGGAGGAGCUAGCAGCGCCGGCAGUUCCCUCUCCUAAUUUCUGGUCAUGGGGAUUGCGGCGGGCGGCGAGCGGCUGUAGGUGGGGAUCACGGCGGUCGGCGAGCAGCUACAAGUAUGUAUUUGAGCGGAUUGAGGCGUGUUGAGCUACGGGCGGCCUGGGUGUCUAGGCGAGCAGCGGGUGGCCUCGGCGCUACCGUGGACCCGUGGUGGACUUCGCCGCGUGGGGAGCUCGUGUUGCAUCGCUUUCAGGAAGCGCGUCGUGCGGUGGCUGACCGCGGAGUUGCGCUUGCAUCGGCGUUGUGGAGAGCGGGGGGCUGUCCCGGCACUGCCGUGGGCGUCCCAUUCUUUUCCCCUCCCCUAUCAGCUUCCAGACUCCUUGUUCUCCAGAGAAUCGCCAUCGACUCCACUAGCGUGCUCCCCAAUGGAUCUCCCCAUUGGGAGAGACGAUUCAUCUUUCCAUGGAUUUCUCUCAUCCUCUAUAAGUACUCCACCCCAUGGAUUUCUCCCCUCAAACAGUAGUCGAAUCACAAGCUGCAGCUGCUAGGCCGCUGCAAGAUCAGAAGUCAUAGAACCGACAUGUUGCUCGCAUUCAGAUUUCAGCCUUGAGAUUCAGCUGCGAUGUGCUGACGGAGAUGCUUAAACUUUGAAGAGCACUCAUACUUCAGAUAUUAGACAUGUUGCAGUUGGAAGCUUUGUAGCUUCUGAUUUGUUCCUGAUAUGGAUGGACAUUGCCAUCCAAGGGAAGCAGCUGCAAGGUUGGGUUGUUGUUGGACAGGGAGAGGUUGAGCGGGAGGAGAUACGCUGCUCGCCGGCAGGCCGCGCUCUAGCAUUAGUGUGUGGUUCGAACGCUUUUGGUCGCGGAUUUUUGGUUGUGGUGGCAAAUCAAUUCAACGGUCAAGUAUGUGAUGAUGCUACAGCUGAAUGUUUUGCAAUAGGGUCAUUGACUCUUGUAAAGCAAGCAAGUAGAAAAAUUAAUUGGGUAAGAUUCUUGUGUUUCUACCAGGUCGAAUGAAUAUAUGCUCGAAUACCAAAACUAUUCAAAAUUGAACUAGAACCAUUUGUCUUCUUGCCUAGAACCGUUGAUGUAUUGGCACGCGCACCUUUCCUUAACAAGCGUGGCACCCUUUUUGAUCUUUUAUUUGCAUGUGGUAAUCUGAUAAAAGGGGACUCUUGUGGAGGAAGUACCAAAAUUUAAAAAGAAAAUCUAUGGGGCAAAUUUACUCCCUUGUUUGCUGCUGCUACCAAUUUUUAAAGUAAGUCUUUUUAUGUGUCAUGUUUACACUUGUAUCCUGAGUACAGCUGUCGGAUUUUGUUGGUUGAUGUCAGAUUAUGUGCCUUGAUUCUAAUCUUGAACAGUUAUGUGAAAAAUCAUGAAGAAUUCUUUACCCGCUAGUAGCAUUUUGAUAAGUGGAAUGAACCAAUAUAAACAUCUGGCACUUUUGAUUUGCGUGGUUCGAACCUUUUGGUACUUGCAGACGCACCUUUUAUGUGCAAGCAUGGCUCUUUUAUGAUAUGUAAUUUCGUAGUUUUCAAGAUAUAUAAAAAAAGAUCUAUCGUUUUUGAAGACAUAAAAAAGGUCUGUAUAAUUUUUGGAUUUGUAGUUAUCUUUCUUCAGUGUAAAUCUGUUCAGCCAUUGAGGGAUUAAGGGAGGAGCUGGUAGUCACUGAUUAGAUGGUAAGUUGGUAACAGGAGAUAACUAGGGAGAGGAGAGAGAAUCGCACAUGCAUGGCAAUUGCAGUACUAGUUUUCUCUCACAUGCAGGGUGCAGAAUUCCUCCAAGGUAAAGGACACGAGCAUGUGAACAUGAGCAGGAAAUGGGAUGCAAGAGCUGCAGCCUUAUUCUGGAGAACCUGCACCGCGGCUUGUGAGCUCUGCCGCCCUACCACUUGAAGUCCUCGCCAUAACUCGCGUGCAGCGUGGCUGCUCAACACAGCUGCUGUUUAUGGAUAACUUGCUCUCGAGGUCAUGCGAGACAAAUAUUGUAUAUUGCACUGUGGUGAGAGUAUAAUUAUAGUGUUUCGAUGAGAAAGCAGAGCAUUGUUUUGUCUAAUUUUCAUUGUCUAGCUUUGGAUUUUUUCUUUGCUCUGGCUUGUUAACAAUUCUUCAAUUUUGUUGAUGGAAUAACACAAAAAAGUAAUUUUUGCACCCAGCUCCUGGGCAG